rnacentral:sRNA from 1 species
GACCUCCCGGGAAGUCCUCGU